rnacentral:rRNA from 1 species
CUUUGCCUACGGGACGCAGCAGUGGGGAAUAUUGCACAAUGGGGGAAACCCUGAUGCAGCGACGCCGCGUGAGCGAUGAAGUAUUUCGGUAUGUAAAGCUCUAUCAGCAGGGAAGAAAAUGACGGUACCUGACUAAGAAGCCCCGGCUAACUACGUGCCAGCAGCCGCGGUAAUACGUAGGGGGCAAGCGUUGUCCGGAUUUACUGGGUGUAAAGGGAGCGUAGACGGCCAUUCAAGCCAGAUGUGAAAGCCCGGGGCUCAACCCCGGGACUGCAUUUGGAACUGCGUGGCUAGAGUGUCGGAGG